rnacentral:sRNA from 1 species
GUCAACCCCCCCUGGCUGAAGUCAGAGGCUUGGGAAACCCGCAAGCCAAGCGGGCCAAUCGAGACUAAACGGUUGACUAGACAGAAAGCUGAACGAACUGCCCGUGGCAGGGCAAGCGAUACCGGGAAUGCCCUCCUAGUUUCCGGUCCCUCGGUUCGUCAGCAUCGAAGGGAAGUAGAUACUCGAAAGAGG